CCUACGGGUGGCAGCAGUGAGGAAUAUUGGUCAAUGGGCGGGAGCCUGGACCAGCCAAGUCGCGUGAGGGAAGACGGUCCUAUGGAUUGUAAACCUCUUUUGUCGGGGAGCAAAGAGGCCACGUGUGGUCAAAAGCGAGAGUACCCGAAGAAAAAGCAUCGGCUAACUCCGUGCCAGCAGCCGCGGUAAUACGGAGGAUGCGAGCGUUAUCCGGCUUUAUUGGGUUUAAAGGGUGCGUAGGCGGGACGGUAAGUCAGCGGUAAAAAUGCGGAGCUCAACUCCGUCGAGCCGUUGAAACUGCCGUUCUUGAGUGAGCGAGAAGUAUGCGGAAUGCGUGGUGUAGCGGUGAAAUGCAUAGAUAUCACGCAGAACUCCGAUUGCGAAGGCAGCAUACCGGCGCUCAACUGACGCUGAAGCACGAAGGCGUGGGUAUCGAACAGGAUUAGAUACCCCAGUAGUC
rnacentral:rRNA from 1 species